GGGCUGCUCGCCUCAAGCCUGCUUUCACCUGACUCCCGGGGUCUGUGUGGUGACUCCGCACCUCUUGCCCCCACCACGCUCCUCCUCUCAGAAACAAUCCACUGCAACAUUGUUGAGAAAUCAACGGCAACACUAGGGGUUUCAGCUUGAAAUGAUGGGGGAUGAGUGGUGGCCAGGGACAGAAAACAUCUUUUCCCUCUCCUGCUGUGCAUGGACGAAACGGACAAAUUUUCUGCCAGAUAAAACACAGAGCUCUGGAAAGGAGGGGCCGGCACUGUGGCGCAGCGGAUUAACGCCCUGGCCGGAUGCGCUGGCAUCCCCGGCUGCUCCUCUUCCAAUCCAGCUCUCUGCUCUGGCCUGGGAAAGCAGUAGAAGAUGGCCCAAGUCCUGGCUGGGCCCCUGCACCCUGUGGGAGACCUGGAAGAAGCUCCUGGCUCCUGGCUUCCGAUCAGCACAGCUCUGGACGGUGCGGCCAACUGGGAAGUGAACCAGCGGAUGAAAGAGCUCUCUCUCUCUCUCUCUCUCUCUCUCUGCCUUUCCUCUCUCUGUGUAACUCUUUCAAAUAAAUAAAUAAAUCUUAAAAAAAAUAAGGAAAGGAACUAAUUUACAUUAUAUAUCUGUGUAUCUCAGAAAAGAACAACAUUAAACAUUUUUGAAAAUAGCUAUGAAUUCUGGAAUAAGCAGGCUUAACUCAAAUGAAAGUUCAACAUUUAAUAUACUCUAGUACAUAAAUAAAAUAAGUAAUAUUCUUUCAAAUUAAUUUAACUCAUACGUAUGACUGUCACAGGUAGUUGUUUACCAAAUUCUAACCUCAAUUUACACCCUACUUUUUAAAGAGUAAAAUGUCAUUAAACAAAGAAAUUAACCAAUAAUA